CAGGUGUGGCCAUGCCAGUGUGUUCCUGUUGACUGUCAGCCCAUGGAACUGUGGACACUUCCAGAGGUCAUCAAGAACAGCGGCCACAUCCAGAGGUUCCGAGCCUGCCAGCCUCGCCCUGCAUCCCACCGCAUCCCACCCAGCCUCGAGCGGCCACCCUGCCGGCCAGGAGGCCCGGGUAACACAGCAACGGGAGGAGGCUGCAGCCGGCCGGCUGGGGACCGCGGGAAGCUCCCUUGGCCUGUGGCACCGACAUUCUAUGGCACACAGGCAAUCUCCCAAGCCAGUCGAGACUCAGAGAGCAGCUUCUACACGGAUCCCGAGGUCGAACAUUUACUGGACCAAGCCCCAGUGCGGCCAGGGCUGAUUCCCAGGAAGACCACAGGAAUAGCUUGCUCCUGAAGCAAAGCCAAGCUUGCUCCUUGCCUCUACUUUCUACUCCUUCCCACCUACUGCUGCCCGCUGCCUGGACGGGACCUUCUUCAGGUCUCAGGAAGGGGACUUGAGGGACAUGGCCCUACCGUGUGCAGGGUCUGGUUUUGCCCCUCUAAGGCAGGCCUUGCACUGCAAGGAUGGCAAGCUGUUUAGCUUUGUUUCCCCUCAUAAUUUUCUUUAACCGUGGUACCUGCACAUAGCCAAAAAUGGACCCUCUUAACCAUUUUCAGGUGUGCAGGUCGGUGGUAUUAAGCUCAUCACAUUGUGGUGCAGCCACCCCCCCACCCAUCUCCAGACCUCCUUCACGUCCCCAGCUGAAACUCUGUCCCCAGUGAGCCCUGACUCCUCACCCCUCCCCAGCCCCCGGCAUCCACCACCUGCUUUCUGUCUCUGUGCCCUGGACUCCCCCAGGGACCUGGGACAGCAGGGAUCGUACGGGACGUGUCCUUGUGUGACCGGCGUACCUCACUCAGCAUGAUGUCCUCAAGGGUCACCCACGUGGUAGCAUGUGUCGGGAUCACCUUCCUUUCUAAGGCUGGAUAAUCUCGCGUUGGGUGGAUGCCCCACUUUUGUUUAUGGGUGACCAUCCGUCCCCCAGUGGACCCUUGGGUGGCCCCCACCUCUUGGCUAUUGUGACUCAUGCCGCCAUGAACAUGGGUGCGCGAGUGUCUCUCUGAUUCCCGGCUCUGUUCUUUGGGGAGGGUACCCAGGCGAGGAACCGCUGGAUCAAAUGUCACACUCUCGUCUGUGCUCGGAGAGGGGCCGCACCCGCAGAGAAGCAGGCAGCUACCCCCCCUGCCGCUUGACCCCACCUUGCUCUCUGGGCCCUGGCCGCCCACAGGGUCUCCCACAGCCUUGCCCAGGAGCUGCUGCAAGGUGACGUGGCCCCGUGCGUGGCGACGAGGACAGAGGCGCUGGAGAGCGUCUGGGUGGCCUGCCGAGCUGCCAUCUGCUGCUCUGCUUGGAGCUCGGCGGCUGCAGAGAGGAGCGUGAGCUGGCAGCAAAGAUGGCAGGGAGGGCUGCUGGGCUGGCGGCACCCCCAGUGAGGGCAGAGCCAGGGACACAGCCUGAAACCAGAGCAGGGGCCACACCUCGCUGCGCCAACAGGCCUGCAGACCCAGCAGGGGGGAAGGAGGAAGGGCAGCUCAUUAUUGCCUUUUAUUCCAUUUCAGAAAAGUACACGAACAAAGAGCACACAGCUGUGCACCCACCACACAGAAAUGACAAUCGCUAGCAUUUUGUUCCAAUUGUUUUCAGUCUUUCUCUUUUUUAAUGUAAAAUAUAGAAUUGUUUCAGAUAAUAUUGAAGCCCUCUGUGUGCCCCAGGGUGGGGUAAGGACCAUCCAAACCCAUACAUUUUUUGCCAUCAACACCCCCUCCCCUUCAAGGGAGGGAACCAAGCACUUCUGGAGGGCAUGGUGUGCCCAUACUGAUCCAGGGUCCUCUACCAGGAGCCCCCCUUCCUCAUGGCUGUGUGGCAAGUGGUGAUUCUUGUCCCCCUGCUUUACCGCAAGGGACAUCACCAUGUACAAUGUGGCUGCCUCAAGCCAUAAGAAAGCAUGUUACCUGAGAAAGAGGAUGUGGGGUGGGUUAGUUUGGUGCCUUGAGGAGCACAGGCAGGGUCAGGAAGCAGAGCCCGGGGCAAAGACUAC